GUCCAGUUAGAUCCUAUUACUAGGGUCCAGUUAGAUCCUAUUACUAGGGUCCAGUUAGAUCCUAUUACUAGGGUCCAGUUAGAUCCUAUUACUAGGGUCCAGUUAGAUCCUAUUACUAGGGUCCAGUUAGAUCCUAUUACUAGGGUCCAGUUAGAUCCUAUUACUAGGGUCCAGUUAGAUCCUAUUACUAGGGUCCAGUUAGAUCCUAUUACUAGGGUCCAGUUAGAUCCUAUUACUAGGGGCCAGUUAGAUCCUAUUACUAGGGGCCAGUUAGAUCCUAUUACUAGGGUCCAGUUAGAUCCUAUUACUAGGGGCCAGUUAGAUCCUAUUACUAGGGGCCAGUUAGAUCCUAUUACUAGGGUGCAGAUAGGUCCUAUUACUAGGUUCCAGUUAGAUCCUAUUACUAGGGUCCAGAUAGAUCCUAUUACUAGGGGCCAAUUAGAUCCUAUUACUAGGGGCCAGUUAGAUCCUAUUACUAGGGUGCAGAUAGAUCAUAUUACUAGGGGCCAGUUAGAUCAUAUUACUAGGGGCCAGUUAGAUCCUAUUACUAGGGGCCAGUUAGAUCCUAUUACUAGGGGCCAGUUAGAUCCUAUUACUAGGGACCAGUUAGAUCCUAUCACUAGGGUCCAGUUAGAUCCUAUUACUAGGGUCCAGAUCAGUAUUUCCUUAUCAGGACACGUGGUCAGA